UACAGAGGUCUCGAGCGUUGUUCGGAUUCAUUGGGCGUAAAGGGUGCGUAGGUGGCGCUGUAAGUCGGGUGUGAAAUCCCGGAGCUCAACUUCGGAACUGCCUUUGAUACAGCACGUCUUGAGUCCGAUAGAGGUGGGUGGAAUUCCUAGUGUAGAGGUGAAAUUCGUAGAUAUUAGGAAGAACACCGGUGGCGAAGGCGGCCCACUGGAUCGGUACUGACGCUGAGGAGCGAAAGCAUGGGGAGCGAACAGG
rnacentral:rRNA from 1 species